UGGGGAAUAUUGGACAAUGGGCGAAAGCCUGAUCCAGCCAUGCCGCGUGCGUGAAGAAGGCCUUUUGGUUGUAAAGCACUUUAAGUGGGGAGGAAAAGCUUAUGGAUAAUACCCAUAGGUUCUGACGUUACCCACAGAAUAAGCACCGGCUAACUCUGUGCCAGCAGCCGCGGUAAUACAGAGGGUGCGAGCGUUAAUCGGAAUUACUGGGCGUAAAGCGAGCGUAGGUGGUUUAUUAAGUCAGAUGUGAAAUCCCUGGGCUUAACCUAGGAACUGCAUCUGAUACUGAUAAACUAGAGUAGGUGAGAGGAAAGUAGAAUUCCAGGUGUAGCGGUGAAAUGCGUAGAUAUCUGGAGGAAUACCGAUGGCGAAGGCAGCUUUCUGGCAUCAUACUGACACUGAGGUUCGAAAGCGUGGGUAGCAAACAGGAUUAGAUACCCUGGUAGUCCACGCCGUAAACGAUGUCUACCAGUCGUUGGGUCUUUUAAAGACUUAGUGACGCAGUUAACGCAAUAAGUAGACCGCCUGGGGAGUACGGCCGCAAGGUUA
rnacentral:rRNA from 1 species